rnacentral:rRNA from 1 species
AAAUUGAAGAGUUUGAUCAUGGCUCAGAUUGAACGCUGGCGGCAGGCCUAACACAUGCAAGUCGAACGGUAACAGGAAGAAGCUUGCUUCUUUGCUGACGAGUGGCGGACGGGUGAGUAAUGUCUGGGAAACUGCCUGAUGGAGGGGGAUAACUACUGGAAACGGUAGCUAAUACCGCAUAACGUCGCAAGACCAAAGAGGGGGACCUUCGGGCCUCUUGCCAUCGGAUGUGCCCAGAUGGGAUUAGCUUGUUGGUGGGGUAACGGCUCACCAAGGCGACGAUCCCUAGCUGGUCUGAGAGGAUGACCAGCCACACUGGAACUGAGACACGGUCCAGACUCCUACGGGAGGCAGCAGUGGGGAAUAUUGCACAAUGGGCGCAAGCCUGAUGCAGCCAUGCCGCGUGUAUGAAGAAGGCCUUCGGGUUGUAAAGUACUUUCAGCGGGGAGGAAGGGAGUAAAGUUAAUACCUUUGCUCAUUGACGUUACCCGCAGAAGAAGCACCGGCUAACUCCGUGCCAGCAGCCGCGGUAAUACGGAGGGUGCAAGCGUUAAUCGGAAUUACUGGGCGUAAAGCGCACGCAGGCGGUUUGUUAAGUCAGAUGUGAAAUCCCCGGGCUCAACCUGGGAACUGCAUCUGAUACUGGCAAGCUUGAGUCUCGUAGAGGGGGGUAGAAUUCCAGGUGUAGCGGUGAAAUGCGUAGAGAUCUGGAGGAAUACCGGUGGCGAAGGCGGCCCCCUGGACGAAGACUGACGCUCAGGUGCGAAAGCGUGGGGAGCAAACAGGAUUAGAUACCCUGGUAGUCCACGCCGUAAACGAUGUCGACUUGGAGGUUGUGCCCUUGAGGCGUGGCUUCCGGAGCUAACGCGUUAAGUCGACCGCCUGGGGAGUACGGCCGCAAGGUUAAAACUCAAAUGAAUUGACGGGGGCCCGCACAAGCGGUGGAGCAUGUGGUUUAAUUCGAUGCAACGCGAAGAACCUUACCUGGUCUUGACAUCCACGGAAGUUUUCAGAGAUGAGAAUGUGCCUUCGGGAACCGUGAGACAGGUGCUGCAUGGCUGUCGUCAGCUCGUGUUGUGAAAUGUUGGGUUAAGUCCCGCAACGAGCGCAACCCUUAUCCUUUGUUGCCAGCGGUCCGGCCGGGAACUCAAAGGAGACUGCCAGUGAUAAACUGGAGGAAGGUGGGGAUGACGUCAAGUCAUCAUGGCCCUUACGACCAGGGCUACACACGUGCUACAAUGGCGCAUACAAAGAGAAGCGACCUCGCGAGAGCAAGCGGAUCUCAUAAAGUGCGUCGUAGUCCGGAUUGGAGUCUGCAACUCGACUCCAUGAAGUCGGAAUCGCUAGUAAUCGUGGAUCAGAAUGCCACGGUGAAUACGUUCCCGGGCCUUGUACACACCGCCCGUCACACCAUGGGAGUGGGUUGCAAAAGAAGUAGGUAGCUUAACCUUCGGGAGGGCGCUUACCACUUUGUGAUUCAUGACUGGGGUGAAGUCGUAACAAGGUAACCGUAGGGGAACCUGCGGUUGGAUCACCUCCUUA